CCUUCUCUUCUUCUCUUCUCCCCUAGAUGAGCAUGGCCUCUGCCCUGAAGGCCUUGCAAGCCUGCUCAGCCGCUGGGCCUGCCUGCUGCGGCUCCCACUCCUCUGCAGCCAAGGCCGCUCGGACGCUGCCCUUUGUCCCGGCCAGCCCUCCCCUGGACCCCGCGGAAGUCCAGAAGCUGCAAGCCUUCGUUUUGCGCUCCCGGAGGCUCUUCGUGAUGACCGGGGCGGGGAUCUCCACCGAAUCCGGCAUCCCAGACUACCGCUCCGAAGGCGUGGGCCUUUACGCCCGGACAGACCGGCGGCCCGUCCAGCACGCCGAGUUCCUCCGCAGCGCCAUGGCCCGCCAGCGCUACUGGGCCAGGAGCUUCGUGGGCUGGCCUCUCUUCUCGGCCCAUCGGCCCAACGUGGCGCACCUGGCGCUGAAGGACUGGGAGGCGCUGGGGAAGCUGCACUGGCUGGUGACCCAGAACGUGGACGCCCUCCACACCAAAGCCAGCAGCCAGCGCCUGAUGGAGCUGCACGGCUGCACCCACAGGGUCUUGUGCCUCAGCUGUGGAGACCAGACGUCCCGUGCUGAACUCCAGGCGCAUUUCACGGCCCUGAACCCUACGUGGACAGCCGAGGCUUGUGGGGUGAACCCCGAUGGAGAUGUCUUCCUGUCAGAUGAACAGGUGCGCAGUUUUUGCGUGCCCCCCUGCAGCAAAUGUGGCGGCCCCCUCAAGCCGGACGUGACGUUCUUCGGGGACACUGUGAGCAAAGAGAAAGUGGACUUUGUCUACCAACGCCUGGCUGAAUCGGACUCCGUCCUCGUGGCGGGGUCUUCGCUGCAGGUUCCCAUGGACACGGGGGCCAUUCAGGAAGCUGUUUCAACGACAAAACUAGCGAGAGGCACCACUGCCAGUCUUCUGAGGACAGCAACCUGCCUGCCUCUUCUUCAUUCUAACACAGCUUCCAAACUGCUUCCUUCCUAUAUAAACCUCUUGGGUUCCAUCAAUGGCCAGUUCUGGUUUUCUGCUCUAUUGUUGGUGCAGCGGUUUGCUCAUCCAGCAUCACAGAUGGUUAUUCGUUGGUUGAAGAUCCCAAGAUCUCCCCCAGUUGGGGACAGGCAGAUCUUUCGAUCUCGGUCUCACCAGGAGUGUCAGGGGUUUUAGGUCAAGUUUGUUUCAUCUACCUUGUAAGAUAGAUAGAUAAUUUAAAUCUGUUGUGGAAGUCAUACUUUUUUUCCUUUGCAUUUUUCAUAAUGUAUGCAUUAAUUAAAUGCAUUUUUGUGUGCAUUUUUUAACAUACACAUUUUUCCCAAGGACAUUACAUUGCUGAAGGAAAGAACCGGGGUGAUUGUAGGGCUGAGAUGCCCCGUUGGCUUAAAUGGGACUGAAGCUGCGUGUCGCAUUGCUGUCUGGAACGGCAGACUAAUUUGUAUAAAACGGUGACCCUUAAAGGGCAGCACUGCGCCCCUCUGAGGUCUGCGCCCUGGGCAGCUGCCUAGGUGGGCUAAUGGUAGCGCCGGCCCUGUCUGCACAUCUGCUUAAGGAUGUAAGAAGCACUUUGCAGGAUCAGACCCUGGUCCAUGUAGUCCAACUUUCUUGGCAAGAAUCCCCACAGCCAGCAGGCAAGUGUCCCUGACCUAGACACACUGGAACAGAUCCAGCAGAGACAGUCACCGGAACAGAAGACAAAGCCUUUGAGGACAGGUUGGAGGCGCUGGGUGUGUUUAGCUUCGAGAAAUGAAAACCGGGGUGGGGGGGCAGGAUAGCCCUCUCCAAAUCCCUGGAGGGCUGACACAGAGCAGGGUGCACACAGGCAUGUUCUCUGCUGCCCCAGACAGCAGAAUGGGCUUAAAUGUUCCAGGAGGGCAGAUUCUGGCUGAACAUUAGGAGAAACCUGACGCUAAGAGCGGUUUGACAAGGAGCCGGGGUGAGGGUGGGUCUCCUCACUGGGAGUCUUCAGACAGACAUCUCUUAGAUGUCUUGGACUUCAACUCCCAGAAGACCCUGCCAGCAUAGCCAAUGGUCAGGAAUUCUGGGAGGAGGAGUCCAAAACAUCUGCAGAUCUACUUUUUGCCCACCUCUGGCCCAUGGAAGCUACAUCAGUUCUAUGAUACAAUGAAAUAAAUUUUAAAAUAUACCAGCCUCCACCCCUCAGUAGGCCAUCUACCACCCUCCCCUGAACUCCUGCUCACUGCUGGAAAUCCCCAGCAGAUGUCUCUCCAACCUUUGCUUUAUGACCCCUGUUGGGGAGGAGCCCCUCCCCAACCCUGCCAGGUCACUGGUUCCUUGUCGAACUGCCUUUCCCAUUUAAAAAUGGGCAAUAGCGUGAUUUUACUCCCCUUCAAAAUUCCUGUAAAGGGGCCGUUUAUGGUGUUCCCUAACCAGCACAUUGCUUUGUGUACAGUUUGAAGGCAGGGGACUUUAGCAGCCGGAGAGACAGGUAGAUGCCUUGCCCUUCUGCCUGCUGUGGGGCACCCCCCUCAAGGAAAUGGAGUGGACAAACCCCUCCCAUAGGGUGCUCAGGGGGGGCACCAUGGCAAGGGCCAUGCCCAGGGGUCCCAGUGGACGCGGCUUCACUCAGACAGGGGGGGCACAAUAUGACCGACUCCAACACCUGCGUAAUUUUGCUUGAAGUGUUCACUGUAUCAAACUGAGGGCUAUUCCAAC